CCGCGGGCCUGGAGUGAUGCUCGUCUGCCCGUCUCCGCGGCUUAGGCCCUGGUUUUAGGUCUGAAUUAGGGAUCUCGGAUUUCUCUGAGGACGGAUCGGCACAGUGGCUGUCCCUACCACCCCAAAGUGGACGUGCGCGUAGCGUGGGUUAGAAUUGUGGUUGUCUGCUGCGGAAGGACCCGGCCUCAGUCUGCGAGGGUGCCCUCGGCGAUUUGCAUUCUGUUCAGUCCGCACGCGAGCGUGGCCGACGGCGUCUGCCUGAGAGGACGAGGAGGUGUGUGACGCCGGCUGUGCGGGUGGCACGGGACUUGCUGUGUCUAAGCCAGAUGUGGUUUCCUCACUGAAGGAAACGAGACAGCCCUGAAUGGUGGAGAGAGCAGUCAGUAAACGGGCUGCAGGAAGAGGGAAGCCGUUGCCAGUAAAGCUCAGCUGGUGUGAAGAGUCGGAACGUGAAGAUGUUGUUUGAGAAGCCUUCUUCUCAAAGGCCAAAGGAGAGAACUGAGGCCGCUUCAGCCUGAGUUCCCAAAGACAUGUCACCCUCAUCCCCAUGGGUCACUGUGUCCACAGGUCUUUCCAUAAUUCCCUCCAGGUCCAAAGAGAGGGAGAUUAGCCUUCACAGAGUUUGUGAUUAUAAAAGAAAUACAUACUAAGCAUUAAAAUUCAGAAACCAGAGAAUCCUAAAAUAACGAUUGCCCACUAUGAACAUUUUAUUGAAAAUCUCUUUACCCUCUUUCUAUGUAAAGUCUUUCCUUUCAAACACAGAAUUCACUAAAUGUUGCUGUUCUGAAACCUACCUUCCUUACCUAACACUAGUGAACAUUCUUCCAUGUCAACAGGUAAGGGUCUAGAGCAUCCAUUGUAAUGGCUGUAUUUGUUUAAAAGACGGAGGCAUAUCUUUGGGCAAAUUCCUAAAAUUGGAUGGCAGGUAAACAUAUAGUUUUCAUACAUACUACCAAAUUCCCUGCUAUAGUGCUUGUACCAGCAAUAUAUGAGACUGCUUAAUCUCCUGCAUAUUAGUUUUCUGUGGCUGAUGUAACAAAUUACCACAAACUGGGUAGCUUAAAAUAAUAGAUAUUUAUUCUCUGUCACAGUUCUGAGGUCAGAACUCAAAAAUCAAGGUGUCAGCAGGGCCAGACUCCCUCUAGAGACUCUAGGGGAGAAUCUGUUCUUUGCCUCUCCCAGCUUUUGGUGGCUGUAGGUAUUCCUUGACCUGUGGCCCCCUCACUCUAAUUUCUGCCUCCAUGGUCACACUGCCUCCACCUCCUCUGUCAAAUCUUUCUCUGCCUCACUCUUACAAGGACACUUGUCAUUGGAUUUAGGGUCCACCCAGACAAUCGUGGAUGAACUUUUCAUCUCAAGAUCCUUAACUUAAUUGUAUCUACAAAGACCCUUUUCCCACAUAAAGUAACAUUCAAAAGUUCCAGAGAUUAGGGUGUGGACAUAACUUUUUUUGAUGUCACCAUUCAGCCCAUUACACCCUGCCUUAUGAACAGAAUAUGCUGUUAUACUUUUUAAUUUCUGCCAUUCUGAUAGGUGAAAAAUGGUCUCAGUAUCAUUUUAAUUUACAUUUCUCUUUUCAUACAUAUAAGGGUCACUGAUCUAUUUGGAGUUUACAUAUUUUUUGUGAAUUGUUUGUUUCUUUUAUCCAUUUUUUUCUGUCAAGUUUUUUGGUCUUUCCUCAACUGUAAGAGCUUUUUUAAAAUUGAGGUAUAAUUGACAUAUAACAUUAUAUUAGAGUUAUGCAUCGCUUAAUGACAGGGAUACAUUCUGACAAAUGCAUUGUUAGGCGAUUUCGUCAUUGUUCAAACAUCACAGAGUGUACUUACACAAACCUACAUGGCAUAGCCUACUACACACCUAGGCUAUAUGGUACUAAUCUUAUGGGGCCACCAUUGUAUAUGCGGUCUGUCAUUGACCAAAACAUCAUUACGUGGAGCGUGACUGCAGUUUCACAUGUACAACAUAAUGAUUCCAUACUUGUAGAUAUUGCAAAAUGAAGUGUUUUUUGGUAGUAGGAAUUCUUAUGGACUGAAUUAUGUCUUCUCGCUGGCAAAUUCAUAUGUUGAAGCCCUAAUCCUCAGUACAUUAGAAUGUGGCUGUAUUUGGAGAUAGGGCCUUUAAAGAAGUAAUUAAGUUAAAAUGAAGCUGUUAGGGUGGGGCCUAAUCUAAUCUAACUCGUGUCCUUAUAAGUGGAGAUAAGGACAUACACAGAGAGACACACCAGGGAUGCGUGCAUACAGAGAAAAGGCCAUCUGCAAGCUAAGAAGAGACCUCAGGAGAAAACAAAUCGGCCAACACCUUGAUCUUGGACUUCCAGCCUCCAGAACAAUGAGAAAAUUAAUUUCGGUUGUUUAAACCACCCAGUCUGUGGUAUUUUAUUAUGGUGACCCUAGCAAACUAAUACAGGAAUAUUAGCCCUUUAUUUGUGAUAUAUCUUGCAAACAUUUUCUCCCAAUUCGUAAGUUGUCUUUUGAUUUUCUUUUUAAUGUAGUCAAAUCUUUGAAUAUUUCAAAUUUUUCAAUAUUUUAUUGCAUCUGUUUUCUGAGUCAUAGUUAGGAAGUUCCUUUUUACACUGAAAUUAAAGAGGAAUUCACUGA